AUUGAACGCUGGCGGCAGGCCUAACACAUGCAAGUCGAACGAGUGGCGGACGGGUGAGUAAUGUCUGGGAAACUGCCUGAUGGAGGGGGAUAACUACUGGAAACGGUAGCUAAUACCGCCUACCAUCCGAUGUGACCAGAUGGGCUUAGCUAGUAGGGGGGUUAACGGCUCACCUAGGCGACGAUCCCUAGCUGGUCUGAGAGGAUGACCAGCCACACUGGAACUUAGACACGGUCCAGACUCCGACGGGAGGCAGCAUUGGGGAAUAUUGCACAAUGGGCGAAAGCCUGAUGCAGCCAUGCCGCGUGUGUGAAGAAGGCCUUCGGGUGGUAAAGUACUUUCAGCGGGGAGGCGUUACCCGCAGAAGAAGCACCGGCUAACUCCGUGCCAGCAGCCGCGGUAAUAC
rnacentral:rRNA from 1 species